GGGCAGGUUCCAGAGCGGUCAAAUGGGACGGGCUGUAAACCCGUUGGCUUCGGCCUUCGGUGGUUCGAAUCCGCCCCUGCCCA
rnacentral:tRNA from 1 species